GUGAAUUAAUUUAAGCCCCUCCCACAAAUACAGGCAAAACUGCCUUAAUACAUAUAUAUAUAUAUAUUUUUUUUAUUUUUUAUUUUUUAUUGGGGUAGCCCUCAAAAUAUUGGGACAUAUAAAAAAAGACAACUCUGUUCCACAGAGUAGUUGUUGACAUUAUAGUUGCUCAGGCACUUUAACUCUAGAGAACCUCGGGCCAAUCGCACAUCCCCGUGACAGCGACUUUGCAUUUGGAUGUCAUCCAUAUCAACUUUCGAUGCCAGUUUCUGCGCCUACCAUGGUGACCACAGGUAACUGGAAAUCAGGGUUCCAUUCCGUACAGGGACCCUGAGAAACAGCUACCACAUGCAAGGAAGGCAGCAGGCAUGCAAAUGACCCACUCCCAACGCGGGAAGGUAGUGACGACAAAUAACAAUACAGGACUCUUUAAAUCAUUUAACUCUUAAUGAGUCCACUUGAAAUCAUUUAACUCUGAUCAAUUGGAGGGAAGUCUGGUGCAGAGCCACUGACCCGUGCAUGCUGCAGCUGAAACUCCACU
rnacentral:rRNA from 1 species